AUUUCUUUUGUCCUGUUCUCUACAUAUGCAUCAUCAGCAUGAUGAGUUACUUUUAAUGCUCAUGCUUUGGGAGCCUUGGCUGAGGUUGCUGGUGCUGGUUUUAACACGCAUCUCGGGACCAUACUUCCUAUUUUGCUCUCUGCAAUGGGAGAUGAAAACAAGGAAGUCCAAGAAUUGGCACAAGAGAGGGUGGUCCUUGUCAUUGAUGAAGAAGGAGCUUCAAUUAGAUGAAGUUCCGCAUAUCUGAUUGGUUACUUCUUCAAGAGUAGCAAGCUUUACUUAAUUGAUGAAGCUCCAAACAUGAUAUCUACCUUGAUUGUUAUGCUCAGUGAUUCUGAUUCAACGACUGUUACGGUUUCCUGGGAAGCUUUGGCUAAGGUUAUCGGUUCAGUUCCAAAGGAAGUACUUCCUUCAUAUAUAAAACUUGUACGUGAUGUUGUAUCUACAGCUAGGGACCAAGAGCGCAUGAAGCGUCCAUAAGAUUGUGGAAAAACUGUUGGAGGUAUUCACCAUCAGAAUUUGUGCAACGUGCAGUCUCAACAUGCCUUUCUCCACUUGUGCUAUCAAAGCAAAAGGAGGCCCCUGGCCUUUUUUCAGGCUCUUGGAUAAGCUAAUGGAGAGUGAUAAAUAUGGUGAGCGUAGAGAAGCAGCGUUUGGUGUUGAGAGAGUAGUUAUGGGCUUUGGAAUUUCUAGCUUGACGAAAUAUGGUCUUAUAGUUACUCCGCAAGAAGCACUUAUUGACAUGGGAUACUAUGGACUUUGAUAUCUCAAAAUGAGCCUUCACUUCUGCAAAUUACUUUGGCCUCAAAACUUUCAAGUGAUGAUUGUGUAGUAUGUGUCGACCUUCUUGCGGUGCUCACACUCCUCCAGGUAAACCUCCUGCCUAAUGUGUGAGAUUCGUUGUUUGACUGUUUGUAGAAGUUUUAACUAUCUCUCCUGCCUGAUUUCACGGUUAUUGAAGCAUUUUCAUUGGAAUCGCUAUCACAGGUAGCCUAAGAGAGUUCAUGCUUUCUGACCCGUUUCUCCCUGUUUGGGACUUAUGUUUCAUCCCUUUUCAAUGUAGUUACUUCUCUUUCUAGUUUGCCAUCCAAGCUGGAAUGUUCGUAAAACAGUUUACAAUUCUGUUACGUAGAUCUUUCUCGCAACUUCACAGCUAGCCACUACUCUUUUAGACGAGUUCUUGGAUUUCCUUUCCAUAACUGGGGACCAGAUCGUUUCUUCUAGAACCAGGUACAAAUGAUAAGUUCGUUUUGUAUUCUUAAACUCUUUUCACCCCACCCAUCCAGUAGGUAUACUGCUGCCUAAUCUGUGUUUAGUUAUCGCUGAUGUCUCAUAUUAUUUUUCUGAUCUUGACUUUUUAUUAACAGUUUGAUUCAUUUGACAUUUUGAAAGGUUUGGACCUAAAUGCCAGUAACGACUUAUUCUUCUAGGAACUAACUUGGCACCUCUGUAUUGACACACAUAAUCCCGUGGAUCAUCAAGCUCCUUUCUAUGGAUGUGUUAGUGAAGGCUUUGAUUAUCAUUCAGUUGCUGGACCUUCUAGCUCAUGGAUUGUUCGUGCCAUAUUUUACUUGCAUCAUCCCAGCAUCGUUGGUACUAGAAAAAGAGAUGUUGUUUGGAAGAGAUUGCAAAAGUGUCGCAAACCCCGUGGUUAUGAUGUUGCUACUUUUUGUCUACCAAUAGAGAAAGUGUUUGCAAGUAAGGUAAGAAUCUCCUGUAUUCGAAGAUUGCUUCGUAGCUUGAGAUUAAGGGCUUCCCUACGCUUCUUCUCUUUGUUUAUCACACUUCUCAGACUUACAAUGGUGGAUUUUCUGCGGAUGAUAUAGUAAUUUGGGCGCAAAAGAAGACUGGUGCACCAAUCAUUACACUUAAUUCAGUUGUUGAAGCUCAGAGAUUUCUGAACAAGUUUGAGGGUUCUGAACAUAACGAAUUCGUGAAAGCUGCAAAAUCAGAUGAUGAAAUCCAGUUUUUAGAAACAAGCGACAACGAUGUUGCGAAACUUCUAAUUCCUGACCUUAAAAGCAGUAAUGUGUUUA